UACGUAGGGACCAAGCGUUGUUCGGAUUUACUGGGCGUAAAGGGCGCGUAGGCGGCGUGGUAAGUCACUUGGAUGAAAUCUCUGAGCUUAAACUCAGAACGGUCAAGUGAUACUGCUGUGCUAGAGUGCGGUAGAGGGUAGUGGAAUUCCCGGUGUAGCGGUGAAAUGCGUAGAGAUCGGGAGGAACACCAGUGGCGAAGGCGGCUACCUGGACCAGCACUGGACACUGAGGCACGAAAGCGUGGGGGAGCAAACGG
rnacentral:rRNA from 1 species